rnacentral:rRNA from 1 species
UACGUAGGCAGCGAGCGUUGUUCGGAGUUACUGGGCGUAAAGAGUGCGUAGGCGGUUUUCUAAGUUUGGUGUGAAAUCUCCCGGCUUAACUGGGAGGGUGCGCCGAAAAGUGGAAGGCUUGAGUAUGGGAGAGGUAAGCGGAAUUCCUGGUGUAGCGGUGAAAUGCGUAGAUAUCGGGAGGAACACCGGUGGCGAAGGCGGUUCUCUGGGCCUUACCUGACGCUGAGGAGCGAAAGCGUGGGGAGCGAACAGG